rnacentral:rRNA from 1 species
CGUUAGCGGCGGACGGGUGAGUAACACGUGGGUAACCUACCUAUAAGACUGGAAUAACUCCGGGAAACCGGGGCUAAUGCCGGAUAACAUGUUGAACCGCACGGUUCUACAGUGAAAGACGGUCUUGCUGUCACUUAUAGAUGGACCCGCGCCGUAUUAGCUAGUUGGUGGGGUAACGGCCUACCAAGGCGACGAUACGUAGCCGACCUGAGAGGGUGAUCGGCCACACUGGAACUGAGACACGGUCCAGACUCCUACGGGAGGCAGCAGUAGGGAAUCUUCCGCAAUGGGCGAAAGCCUGACGGAGCAACGCCGCGUGAGUGAUGAAGGUCUUCGGAUCGUAAAGCUCUGUUGUUAGGGAAGAACAAAUGUGUAAGUAACUGUGCACAUCUUGACGGUACCUAACCAGAAAGCCACGGCUAACUACGUGCCAGCAGCCGCGGUAAUACGUAGGUGGCAAGCGUUAUCCGGAAUUAUUGGGCGUAAAGCGCGCGUAGGCGGUUUUUUAAGUCUGAUGUGAAAGCCCACGGCUCAACCGUGGAGGGUCAUUGGAAACUGGAAAACUUGAGUGCAGAAGAGGAAAGUGGAAUUCCAUGUGUAGCGGUGAAAUGCGCACAGAUAUGGAGGAACACCAGUGGCGAAGGCGGCUUUCUGGUCUGCAACUGACGCUGAUGUGCGAAAGCGUGAGGAUCAAACAGGAUUAGAUACCCUGGUAGUCCACGCCGUAAACGAUGAGUGCUAAGUGUUAGGGGGUUUCCGCCCCUUAGUGCUGCAGCUAACGCAUUAAGCACUCCGCCUGGGGAGUACGGUCGCAAGACUGAAACUCAAAGGAAUUGACGGGGACCCGCAC